rnacentral:rRNA from 1 species
GACGAACGCUGGCGGCGUGCUUAACACAUGCAAGUCGAACGGUAAGGCCCCUUCGGGGGUACACGAGUGGCGCACGGGUGCGUAACACGUGAGCAACCUGCCCUUGACUCUGGAAUAACAGUUGGAAACAGCUGCUAAUACUGGAUAUUCAUCGUCUCCUUCCUGGGGGGUGGUGGAAAGCUCCGGCGGUCAGGGAUGGGCUCGCGGCCUAUCAGCUUGUUGGUGAGGUAAUGGCUCACCAAGGCUUCGACGGGUAGCCGGCCUGAGAGGGCGACCGGCCACACUGGGACUGAGAUACGGCCCAGACUCCUACGGGAGGCAGCAGUGGGGAAUAUUGCACAAUGGGCGCAAGCCUGAUGCAGCAACGCCGCGUGCGGGAUGACGGCCUUCGGGUUGUAAACCGCUUUCAGUAGGGACGAAGGGUGACUGACGGUACCUACAGAAGAAGGACCGGCUAACUACGUG